rnacentral:rRNA from 1 species
AUUGAACGCUGGCGGCAGGCCUAACACAUGCAAGUCGAGCGAGAGGCGGACGGGUGAGUAAUGUAUGGGGACUGCCCGAUAGAGGGGGAGAACUACUGGAAACGGUAGCUAAUACCGCAUACUAUCGGAUAACCCAUAUGGGAUUCGCUAGUAGGUGAGGUAAUGGCUCACCUAGGCGACGAUCCCUAGCUGGUCUGAGAGGAUGAGAAGAAACACUGCGACUGUGAUACGGCCCAGACUCCUACGGAGGCAGCAGUGGGGAAUAGUGCACAAGGGGCGUAAGCCUGAUGCAGCCAUGCUGCGUGUAUGAAGAAGUCCCUAGGGUUGUAAAGUACUUUCAGUCGGGAGGCGUUAUCUACAGAAGAGGCACCGGCUAACUCCGUGCCAGCAGCCGCGGUAAUUC